rnacentral:rRNA from 1 species
UACGUAGGGUGCAAGCGUUGUCCGGAAUUAUUGGGCGUAAAGAGCGUGUAGGCGGCCAGGUAGGUCUGCUGUGAAAACUCGAGGCUCAACCUCGAGACGUCGGCGGAAACCAUCUGGCUAGAGUCCGGAAGAGGAGAGUGGAAUUCCUGGUGUAGCGGUGAAAUGCGCAGAUAUCAGGAAGAACACCCGUGGCGAAGGCGGCUCUCUGGGACGGUACUGACGCUGAGACGCGAAAGCGUGGGGAGCGAACAGG